AUUGAACGCUGGCGGCAGGCCUAACACAUGCCAGUCGAACGGUAACAGGAAGCAGCUUGCUGCUUCGCUGACGAGUGGCGGACGGGUGAGUAAUGUCUGGGAAGCUGCCUGAUGGAGGGGGAUAACUACUGGAAACGGUAGCUAAUACCGCAUAAUGUCGCAAGACCAAAGAGGGGGACCUUCGGGCCUCUUGCCAUCGGAUGUGCGCAGAUGGGAUUAGAUUGUUGGUGGGGUAACGGCUCACCCAGGCGACGAUCCCUAGAUGGUCUGAGAGGAUGACCAGCCACACUGGAACGGAGACAAGGUCCAGACUCCUACGGGAAGGAGGAGUGGGGAAUAUUGGACAAUGGGCGCAAGCCUGGUGCAGCCAUGCCGCGUGUAUGAAAAAAGCCUUCGGGUUGUAAAGUACUUUCUGCGGGGAAGAAGGGAGUAAAGUUUAUACCUUUGCUCAUUGACGUUACCCGAAGAAGAAGCACCGGCUAACUCCGUG
rnacentral:rRNA from 1 species